UAUGUUAACUCCAUCCGAAAAAAUCCCCUAAUUCUUUCACAUCGGAAAUUACGAGGCUCCUCCGAUUAGUUUCAUCGGAAAUUACCAGGCUCAUCCUCCAUAGUUUCAUCAGAAAUUUUGAGGAGAUCGAUCGAGAUUCCAGGCUCCGAAAAAUCGACAAUCUCCUCCAGGCUCGUCCAUAGUCGAAAAUCUCCUCUGUUCCGACGAUCAAAAAUCGCUUCCGGGCUCAACAACUCCUCCAUAAUCGGCCGCACCAGAGGCGGCGUGCUAAACCUUUAGAGUUUCUCCAAAUCUGAAUCGAGAUUUUAAUAGUCAUGAAUCAAGAAGGGUGCUCCAGCAAAAACAAAAAAAUAUCCAACCGCAUUCCAGCUGGAUCACUUGUAUCUUUGCGAAACCAAAAGGUUUCGUCGUUGACAACAAAAAGAACCUCUCAAGCUAUAAGGUCUAAUGAAAAUGAAGAAAGAGAAUCAGAAUCUCGAUCACUUGCAUUUUUGCGAAAUCAAUCGUUGACAACAAAAAGAACCUUUCAUGAAAAUGAAGAAAGACAAUCAGAAGCUGAGAAGGUUUCGCAAAGAUCUCAAUUGCAAGAAAAAGUGCGGCAAGUGCCAUUGAUUUCUACCUCUUCUACAGCACAAGGAGUACAAGAACAAGUGCGGCAAGUGCCAAUGGAUUCCAUCACUCCUACAUCACAAGCUGUGCAUGAACCAUCUGAAGAUUCUACCAAUCAUGAAGCAAUUGAACAAUCCGAGGAACCAGGCCCUUCCGCGCCAAAAAGAAAAAGAGGCCCUACUCAAAUGCAAAGUGUGCACGGUAGGAAGGACCAUAAAAUAAUCGUGCUAAAUGAGUUCGAUCAACCCAUUGGUCCUACUGAUGAAGUUGUGAAAGAGUUGGGUAGCUUCCUCGGCACAUUGGGAAGGAAUGAGACCUUUUGUCCUCUUACUGUAUUUGAUUGGAGAAAACGACUGAAACCAAUAUCGAGAAUCGAAAAAAGUUGAAGCAUCCACACACUGCUGGCAAAACAAGUUUUGCUCGAAUCAUCGAGGCUGAAAUGGAGAGAAUACAGUCAACUCAAGAAAGUGGAAAUGGAAGUGAUUCAGUUGACGCGUUUGCAUCAGUCAUAGGACCUGAGCACCCAGGUCGGGUAAGAUUGUAUGGACGAGGAGUUAACAAAACUGUCUUAAAAAAGAAAAAAGGAGAUUUUGGAUCCUCCGUAAAUGCUACUGAUGAGAGAAUGGAACAAAAAAUGGAGGAAAUGGAAGAGAGGAUGCAACAAAAAUUGCUGGAAAAGCUCAAUGCACAAAAGGAAAAAUUGCUGGAAGAGCUCAAUGCACAAAAGGAUGCUAUGGAACAAGAUAUUACAAUGAAUGUCGUUACACUACUUCAACGUCUCAACCCCGAUUUAAGACUUGAUCCUGACAUGCUAAUAUUCGGUGCACGCACUUGGCGAAGCUGCUUCUGCACAACAAGGUGUUAUUCAACCAUCAAUCGUCCAUCCGCUGGCAGUAACAAUCAAGGUGGAGUAGAUGAAGUAAUGGAAGGCGGAGGCAAUAAUGAAGAUCUUGACCUUACUUAAGAGAUUUUUAAAUUGUUGAUUGUUGUAGAUGCAUGUGGCGGUUUCUAGGAAUGGUUGUUAUCAAAACAUUUUAAAACUUUUGAUCUUGAAAUAUCAAAUGUAUGUACUUAUUGGUUUCAUCACUAUCUAUGGAUUUAUUAUUAGCU